GUUUAGGUAGUUUAAAAAGAACAUAACGCUGAAGAUGUUAUGGUGGGUGUUAACCCCUUAGACA
rnacentral:tRNA from 1 species